rnacentral:rRNA from 1 species
GUCCACGCCCUAAACGAUGAUUACUCGAUGUGUGCGAUAUACAGUACGCGUCUAAGCGAAAGCAUUAAGUAAUCCACCUGGGGAGUACGGUCGCAAGAUUGAAACUCAAAGGAAUUGACGGGGGCCCGCACAAGCGGAGGAGCAUGUGGUUUAAUUCGAUGAUACGCGAGGAACCUUACCUGGGCUUGAAAGUUAGUGACGUACCGAGAAAACCGGUAUUCCCUUCGGGGCACAAAACUAGGUGCUGCAUGGCUGUCGU